rnacentral:lncRNA from 1 species
UUUUUUCGUUUUAUUACCGCUUGGAGUUGCUUGAGCUGAGGGUCUUUCGGAAACAGCCUCUCUACCUCUCCGAGGUAGUGGAAAGACUGCGUACACUCUACCCUCCCAGACCCCACUUUGUGGGAUUUCACUUGGUAUGUUGAUGUUGAGAGCUUGUAUAGAGGUUAAGUAUCCUUUGCGGUUGUAUUAAAUCAUUUGCCUUGUCUCUUUACAGGCUGCUAACUAUUUAAACAUAAAGAGCUUGCUAGAUCUGACAUGUCAGACAGUAGCAGACAUGAUUAAGGGAAAGACGCCUGAGGAGAUACGCAAGACGUUCAACAUCAAGAAUGACUUCACUCCUGAGGAAGAGGAAGAAGUCAGGAGGGAGAAUGCCUGGGCAUUCGAGUGAAUUUGAGUCUGUUAAGCGUCCAUAUCUGUAGAUAGAUCUGCAAUAUACUUUAGUAGAUGCUAUGAAUAACUUAUAUUAGUAAGUGUGUGACUGUUGUUUCUCGGACCUUCUGGCUUUGGCUGUUGAACCUCUUUUUCUCUGUUAUGCCAUGGUUUCUUGGUAGCCGAUGUCCAUAUUCAUUGAUCUAUUAUUGGAAAUUCAUAUUGUUUCUUGUGUUUAUCAUCACUGGUGCAUUUAGCUUCUUUACUCUUUACUUAAAUGUAAAGGUCAAUUCCUUGGCUUGUGCAAUGGUUUGGUUGUGUUGUUUUCUGUCACAAAAGGAUGUCAGACUAGAGAGUGUAUGUGAGUAGUCUUACAUGGGCAUGGUAUUUGAAGGCACAUAAUGGCCUAGGAUUUGUAGGUUCUUACCUUGAAUCCCGCUUUAGACAGACUCAGUUGAGAGUUUGAGUGUCACUAAGAGAUGGAGAAGUCCACUUUGGUGGGUGAUACAGUGUGAUGGCCUUGGUCCAAUGAGUAGUGCAUUAUUAGAAGAACCAAUAUUUAUCAUAAAUAAGAGCUGUAUAUGUGAAGUUUGACCUUCAUAUCUUAUUCACGAUAAUUUCUUCUCUGAUUUUUUUCCUCAUUAAACGGCUGCACAACUAUACUUGGGUGUGGCAGGAUAAUUUGUUUGGUCUUAUGUUUCACUGUUCUUAUUAUGUGAUUAUUUCCAUGACAUGUUUGUUUCAGUCGGAUCUGGGCAACGUUACCUGUUGUGGCAGGAUGACUGGCCAGACCUUGUAUUCCUGUUGUUGUUUACACGACAUUAUGUCCCUGUUGGUUGAAGCUGUUGGUUGAAGGUAGCUGGUAUGGAAAUAUAUUUGCAAUUUUGCCAAUGUAGUUCGGUGAGUGAUGGUCAUUUUCUUUUUAAAAAUAAAAAUAAAAAUAAAAUCAUAAAAUUAUGAAUGGGCUAUGAGGAGAUCCUUUUCGUCAUUUAAAUAUGCGGCUAAUACAUGAACAAAGAAGAAAAAAAUAAUAAUACUCCAAACAGAGUAUACUCCAAGAUCAAAUGGUUCCGGCUAGUGACAUUAUGCGAAUGAAAAAUGGUUCUGCCAGGUGUUGAUUAUUGUGAUUUGAUGAACUUGACACAUGAGAUUGAUCUAUUUGAUACUUGUGAUUGAUCUACUUGAUACAUGCGAUAUAUUCAUUUGAUACUUGUGAUGGAUAUUCUUUAUCCUUGUUCGUUGUUGAACUCUGACUAUUGGAUUGUGAUUGUUAACCCUUGUGAAUUGUGUAUUGUGAAACUGUUAGAUUGGGUUGAUUUUUUGCAGGUUAUAGUUUGAGGAGGUUUGGUUGGGAUGAAUGGAGUACUUGUAUUCUAGCUAAUUUUGUCUUGUUUAUUUGGUUACUUAUUGAGUACCGUAUUGUUUGGUACUCACUCCUCAUUUUUACACUUGUGUAGGUUCUAAGUCUGGAGCCAUGUGAUUGUUCUUCUUCUGGUUACAUCUGAGGAAACAUUGAGAAGUAGUUGCUUGUCAUCUGGCGGGCCCUCUUGUUUCUUGUUUUAUAUUUUGUUCUAUUUGAGAAAUAAAGACAUUGAGACUUGUAAUUAUCUUUCAAUUUCGCACUUUAUACAUUAGUGGCUUGUACACGUGACAAUUAGUUUUGGAGGUUAUAUUAGAAUGAAUAAGUUUUCCACUCUUAUGUUAUUCUUGUUUUACUUUUCACAUAUUUUUGUUUCGUUGGGUUGAGGCUGACUUGUCUUGAUGGAAAUACACGAGUGUCAUUACGCCCAUUUUUGGAUCGUGACAAUCUCUAUCGAUUGUUGUGAUUUUUGACCUGCUUUCUAAAAAAAUGAAAAAAGGAAGAUAUGGGCAGUAAUUAAAACAGAAAUCAACUUGUGGCUAAAACUUACCCUUGAAAGCAAACAAAUAUGGACACUUCAUUGAAAGCUUGAAAAAAAAUGGAUUAUCACAUUUCUAAAGAAAGAAAGAAGGAAUGAUCUUCGAUGUACAUAUAGAUAUACUUUUUUAAAAAUAUUAUAAUGUAAGUGUAAUUGGUAAUGACUUUACUAAUUGAUGGCUAAAGAUUAAAAUAUCCUUUUACUUUCCUCAAUGGACUUCUAACGCACAUGUUAAAACUAGAAGUGUUCACAGGUCUAUUUAGAUUAGUUAUUGUUCAAAAUCAAAAUCAAAUCAAUUUAAUUAGUUUUUAAAUUAUUAAAAUCAAAUCAAAACUAAAUAAUUAAUAUAUAUAUAGUUCGAUUAUUAAUAAUACACUAAAAUAAAAUAAACGAUUCAUAGAGAAAAAACGACAACAAUGCAUUUGAAAGGAAUAAAUUGUUUUCGUGUCAUUUUAUAAUUCUUAUACCAGAACUACAAUUAUGUUAACUUCCUGCUUAUAUUGUUAACUAAUCCACUGUACUAUAACAACAACAACAAUAUCAUUCCCAUUGAAAUGCGCACACCUUACUACGGUUUCCAAAAGACCCCCUCCUCAAGUGUAUCGAACCCAUGGAAAAGAUGGAGAAAACAUGAGACAUAAAAUCGUAGCAAUAGUAAAAUGUAAUGAUAAUUGAAAUGCAAUAAACAACAAAUGGAAAGAACUAUUAGGGCACGACUGGUCCUAAGAAAUACAUUAUACCUCUACAUGACAAGACACCACUCUAACCCCUACUAGCCUUUUACCCUAAUACGCGUCUCUAGUUCUUCAUAUCUAAAGUCAUGUCCUAAGUAAUAUGAAGCUGCAACAUGUCAUUUUUACCCCUUACUAGCCUUCUACCCUAAUACGUACCCUUCCAAUUCAGUUUAACCAUCAUUCGGGGACGGAUGAUCCCACGGGAAAGAUGUAAAACCCCAAAAAUUCUAACACAAAUCUUAUCUUGAAAAUUUCUGUAGUCUGAUGGGCCCGUAGAAGUAUCUACAAACCAUAGACAGAUUCGUAGAACCGGGUCCUUGAAAGUUGGUUAUCAAGUCUAAGUUUCACGAACCAGACUACGGGUCGUAUAAGUUCCUACGGUCUCAUGGAAACUAAAUCCUGAAGAACACUCCCAGUAAGGUUCCUACAAAAGAGAAGGACAACCCAUCAAAGUUUCUAUGGGCCGUAGAAAGGGUCCUCAAUCCCCAACUUCAGGAAUCUAGAAAACUCAACAUGUUCCUAUGAGAGGGUCUACGACUCAUAGACUUUUGUACGGACCAUAAAUGGCCUUCCGUAGACGACUCCAGUCAGUUUUUAAGAGGGGUUAUUUUUCUCACUCUUUUUAAAUCUGAACCCCGAAGUUUUUACACCUAAUUAAUGUCACAAGAAUCCCUAGCACAAAAUUGAUUUGGAAGCUUCCUUACCAAUUAAGUUUUGAUAUAAGAUUCUACUUAGAUCAACUUCAAAUAACUAUAUCUCUUAGAUUAUGAAAAUUUAGGGGCUCAUAACCAUUUAGAUUAAAGUUAUUUGAGUCUUAUUUCCAAUACCACCAAUUUUACAUCAAUCAUAGUUUUGAGUAAUUAGUUAUGAUCAUUUUACUAACCUGAUACAGUACAAUGACGAAAUAGCCAACGGGGAAAUACUAAAAAGGAUCAUUUUUGUCUUUUUACCACAACACACCCUAAACAAAAAAUUUGACUCCUAAAAACCUCUAAACAAUCAGAUUUUCAUCUCUUAAUUCUCCAUUCUCUUCUCUCUCAAACUCCAAGGUAAAAUCCUAAGGAAAAUCAAAGCAUAAGACUUCCAUGCAAGAUUCUUUCGAAUCUUUUUCAAGAUUCUUCUUCAAGGUAAGUCUUUCUCCAAGAAUUUUAUUCUUUCAAACUCAAAUUCAUUCAUACAAUUAUGAAUCAUCAAUGAAAAUCUUAGUUCUUGGCCAUAGGGUUUCAAGAAACUAAUUCAAGAAUCUCAAGAAAGGUUUUCUUGAUCAUUCUUCUUCAAGCUAGGGUUUCAAACUUCAUCAAGAACUUUAUUUUUUCCAGGUAUGUAAGGUUAUUCAUAGUGUUGGAAUAGUUCGUCCUCAUGUCUUUCAUCUCAAUUCUAUUAGUGAAACGUUAUGUUUAGAGCAUUAUCAACAAUUUUUUUAAAAUUAAAAUUCAGUUGUGUUUCUUUUCUGAGUUUCAAUUCCUUAACCGUUGAGAUUCUGAUUUCUAUUAUGUAUAUUGAUUCUAAUUUUUUGUUUAUAUUUUGUAUCAUAUGAACCCUAUUUGUUUAUAAAAAUUACUAUAUGAGAUUUCUUAUACAUUAAUUUUGGACUUUAUAGGUAAGUCCAUAAGUAUAUGUUUUAAAUGCAUGUUUGGAAAAGAGUUUUUAAAGAAAGGAUCAAAUGAUUUCAUAUGUUUUAUUUGACAGUUCAGAAAGAGAAAGAAUAUAAUUGAUUUUUUGAAAAGUACUUCGGUAAAGAAAAAUAAAAGUAAAGUAAAGUAAUAGUCUCUUUUUCACUCAAUGUCCCAUAAAACUACGUAGCCAACGUACAGAUGGUUUUCACUACUUGUUCAUAUAUUGUUUUGCUUGAUAUGUAUUUAGUCAUCAAUUAUGUUAUUGUUUUAUUCAGUCAUAUUACACACUUGUAUAUUCAAUAUAUUGAUGUCAUUCGAUCUACAUCUUUUGAUGAUGCAGAUUCAAAUAUUUACGGUCAUCAACAGAUGUUCCGUUGACUUCAUCUACUCGUCAGCUUCUGGUGAGACCUCUCUGAUUUCUGAGGACUCCAUUUUUAUUGCUCUAUAAUAUUAGGAUUUUAAGGUGUUGUGGGUCUUGUCCCGAUACCAAUCUUUAGAUAGUAGAGACUUCAUGGGCAAACAGAGUUAGACGGUUUUCACUAUUUUACUUGGAUGUUUUACUAAACACUUAAGGGUCGUUUGGUAGAAUGUAUUAGGAAAAAUAACGCAUGCAUUAGCAUUGUGUAUUACUAGUACCUUGUUUGGUACUCUUUUCCAACCUAUGUAUAACUAAUGCUUGCAUUAGUUAUACACUCUAUUGUGUAUUAAUGUGUGUAUUGUUAAUGCCAUGAAUUUCUAGGUAUUAGCAAUGCAACGGUUUUAAUGCAUGCAUUAGAUUAUUAUUAUUAUAUUUAUUAUAAUUAUUAUUAUUAUAAUAAUUAUAAUUAUUAUUAUUAUAAUUAUUAUUAUUAUAAUUAUUCUUAUUAUUAUUAUUAUUCUUAUUAUUAUAAUUAUUAUUAUUUAUUAUAAUAAUAAUAAUUAUUAUUAUUAUAUUUAUUAUAAUUAUUAUUAUAAUAAUUAUUAUUAUAAUUAUGAUAAUAAUUAUAAUUAUUAUUAUUAUUAUUAUUAUUAGAGGGUAGUUUUGUCAUUAGUUAAUCUAAUGCAUGCAUUAAAACCAUUGCAUUGCUAAUACCUAGAAAUUCAUGGCAUUAACAUAAUAAUAAUAAUGUGGGGGUAUUUUUGUAAACAAAUAUUUUUUAAUAGUCUUUAUACAAGGCUUGCUAUUUCCAAUACAUCAAACCAAACAAUGUAUAAGAAAUAAUGCAAGCAUAACUAAUGCAUGCAUUACUAAUACAUCAUAUUCAACAUUAUUCUUAUACACUCUACCAAACGACCCCUUACUAUUUAUAUUAAGUAUUUUCAGACAUUGUUUUAAAAGUUCUUUAAAUAUUUUAAAUGCUCAUCUAUUAAAGCUUCCGCGUAUUCUAUUGAGUCAUAUGUGUCAUAGUCAGACAUGUCAAGUAUUUGCUUGCGGACCAGCAAUGAUUCUCGAGUGUCGGUCAUGUCCAAGGUGUAGGCUCAAGGCAUGAAAAUAAGACACAACUUCCACCAUAAGGAAAGAUGAGUAGAAGUUGUUAGGGAUCAUCAUCUUCUUCACCUAUGAAAUAUUAACUGAAUACCUACAACCAAACUAUAUCAAGUGGCAUAGCAAGAGUAGUAUUAGUACGAACAACACGUACUGGCAGGCAUCCAAACCCACCACAUAAUAUAAAGUAGACACCACCCAAAGUCUCUAUCCACGUGCUUCUACCAUCUCAGAUAUAAUACCUAUAAACUAGUAUACUUGAACCCAACCUUGUACCUCAUUAUUCUGCUAUCAACUUUGAUGUUUCCUAAGCUAGCCUUUUAUGUCACUUUAACACUUUCCAAAUUUGUCUGUGAUGUCACCCUAAUAUCAUAUCAUAAUAUAACCCUACUAUCACAUAGAGAUUACCGAAUACAAGGCCACCACUAAUGUCAAAUCAUAGACUAACCUUUCUACCACAUAAUGUCCACGAACAUAAGGUCAUCACUAGCCAUAUCAAUCAACUUGCUUGUCCUUCUAGGAAAGUACAUGACACUAGCGCAUUAGACCAACUCAUCUCUCUUGACUCACAUCCCCAUUAUCAAAUAAGUUCUAAAAAAUUAGACAACCAUGAUCAAUCACAUCACUUAACCAUAUACCAGUGUUGAACUUAACAACCACCAUUUCAAUAAAUCAAUCACAUCAUGAUAAAUAGAAAUUGAGUUUAGAAAUAAAUAAAGCAUUGAGACCUCAUAAACUUAACUCAAUAGUUAAAAUAACUAUGCAGAAUAACACCUAAGGAUUCAUUAUCAAUAAACAUUAAUUAUACCUCAACUAUCAUAAGUAACACAUAAUUUGGACUCUCAAUCCUCACCUUAGAUUUAUAUGCAUAACCCGCAAUACCAUAACCACAUGUAACAACAAUGGAGAAUAUGUAGGCUCUCAGCCACAAUAUCAUGAACAAUAACAUUUGGGUCAAACAAUGCAUAACUACAUGUCUCACCUGAUCACAAUGUAAUUAUUGGGCCCCCUCAUGAAAUCACAAUCACAUACAUGGUCCUCUCACGGAAUUCAAACUCAAGCUAUUAGUAUACCGACAUGGUACCCAAGCCAUCUAUAGUUAGUGUAUCAGUAUGGUGUCUAAAUCAUUCAUAGUUAGUGUACCUGCGUGGUACUUGAGUCAACCAACAAUCACGCAUAAUCACAUAGCGCAAUGGACAAGACCACUUGAAAAUCACAAAUCACAAUCACAAGUUCAUUGCAUGAGAUGACCAACAUGAUGUCAUUGCCUCCCUACCAUGCAUUGCAAAAAUGUUACUACAAGUAGUAAACAUGCAUACAUACUUAAAUCAGAAACAUACAACCAACACCUACAUGGGUAUAUCAAUAGCCUAACACUAGAUCCCUUUUUAUGAACACACAUUCGUUUUCUUGAUUAUCACAACCUUAGAAAUGGUUAUAACCUAACAAUAUCAUAACACUUAAUCUUACCAUUAACACCAAAUCACCCUUAAGAAAACUCAAGACUAACAAUCGAGAACUAGAGAACCACCGGUUUUCCUUAGUCAUUAUCUUUUCUUGCCCUGACAUCAAUAAAUAACAACAUUUAGUCAUCUAAACUCCAUACCCAAAGGUUUAGUCCCAUCAAUCCACAAAAUACCAUGCAGUAGUUAAGAAAACAUGUCUAACUACUCAAUUAAGGAAACCUAGCCUACCUGGGUGCCAAACAAUUGUUGUAGAAGUCUGAUCGCGAAUCUUUAACCCUUUGUAAAGCGUUAGCUUGUUCUUAGUCUAAAAUAACAAAUACAACACAACAUUCAAUCAAACAAUGACCUAAUAACUCCCGGAUUGCAACUAAAUCCUAACCCCCAAGCCAAUAUAUGAUCAUCUUCCCCAACUUAGGACUUUUUCCACCAUGAAAUUAUGUCAAAAGUUUCCUCCCAAGAGUAAUAACUUAGAUUCUAAGACUUAAGAAUCAAUGUACAAGGAUGUGUAGUAAUAAUGUUACCUUUAUUGAUGCUUUCCAUGGAAAAUCAAGUGUAACCUGCCUUAAAUUUCCCCUCCCAAGUCCAAGAACACAAAAUGCAAAAAAUAAGGUUUUUAGGGUUAUUUCUGCAUAAAACCCCGAUUCUAUCACUAAAGCAACGCCACUACAAUCGUGACUAACCUCAUUGUAGAGGUCUGAUCCCCAAAUCAAAUGAAAUCGAUUAAUUUAAUCGGCUUGAUUUGAUUUUUUAAUAUGAAUUAAUUUUUACCCUGAUCGUAAACACCCCGCUGCCCGCCCCAAUGGAAACCAUCCUUCCUAUCAUCAUCAUAUAUCAUAUAUCAUAUAUCAUCAUAUCAUAUCAUAUAUAUAUUAUAAGUGGGAAGCUUCCAAGUUAAAAGUUGAAUUACAAAAAUACCCUUCAACUAAAAAAAAAGAUAUUUUUAAUAAAUGGUUGUAAUAUAAUUUUAUACUUAUUAAGCUUUAAUUGUUUUGUAUAAUAAAAUAAUAAACGGAAAAUGAAAAAACCAAGGAGACGAUGAUCAGAUGAUAAUUUUUUAUACUUAAAAACUUUUGAUUUUGUGUUAGAGAAAAGAACCCUUUCCUUUCUUCAUUUAUUUUUUUAAAAAUAGACCAAUAACUCUAUAAAUUAUCUAAUCUUUCCUCUUCCCCAAUACCAAUAACUCUCUAAAUUAUCUAAUCUUUCCUCUUCCCAAUUUAUUACUCAGUUAAAUCGUAAGUUAAUAUAAUUAUAUAUAUUGAAUGAAAGAUGAAACAACUUCCUGAAUAUACCGUUCAUAUUCCUUUUUUGCACUUAGUAUAAUUUAUAUAAAUGCAUAUUAUCAUAUAAGGUAAUAGGACUGCUUCACUUCAGUUGCAACUUAAUAUUAUGAUAUAUUUUUUUGCCUCAUAUUCUUCGUAUUGCUUUCAUUUAUUUUUUUUCUAUUUCAUGUCUAAUGUAGUGUAUUUCUUUGCUUAUAACAGUUAGGUGAAUAAUUUUUCUUCCAUAUUAUUCUCAUUUGUAAAUCAUAAGGUGUGUGCGUUCAUAUUCUCAUUCAUUCCUGAUUUUUUUAAUAAUGUAGAUGCAUUCUUAGUUUGAAUUUAUUUUUACUAUUUAUUAAGUUUCGUAAUUGGAGUGGUAGUUCCUUCAAAGAAAUAUUAGUAAAUGACAUUUCAAAUAUCGUGAAAAAGAUAUUUAGAGUUGAUUUAUAUUGUAAGCACAUUUGAAUGUUGCAUAUGAUUAUGGUAGUCCCCCUUUCUCAUUUUCUAUCUCCAUUUUCACUCUUAAAAAGAUAAAAAUGAUUUCUUUCCUAAUGUAAUCACCAUUCUUUUGCCUUCUUUUUUCAUAUAAAAGUGAUAGUCAAUUCAUGAUUUUAUAAAAAGAACUACAAAAAUGGAUACGAGGAGAGAAAUGUGAAAUAUAUAUUUUGCACUUGAAAUAGGUAAUUGAUAUAUGUCGUGUCAAACAAAUAGUUAAUUUAAUUUGUAGUUUUAGUGAUAAAGUUUGAUUAAUUUUUAGAGUGUGUAAUUUAUUUUCACCAUUAUAAAUUAAUUACAUACGCUUUAAAUUCAUUGUAAUACAAUGUAAAUUACCUUGGUUAUUAUUAAUUAUUUCUAUUUUUCAUCUUCCUAUGUAUUAACUUUUCUCAUAAUCUAUUUAUUUUCCUUUGCCUCAAAACAUUGCUGUCAGAUAUAUAUAAGUUACUGAUAUUAUUUUGUUUCUUUUUGUUGUCUACUCUUUACCAUGCUACCAUAUCUUAUGUGUCAAUUUAGCUAUCAAACUUUUUUCAGGUAGAAUAUUAAUGACCCAUGAAAUUUAUUCUUGAAAAGCUCGGUGUUUUCGAAGUUAUUUCCUAAUCUAUUUUCCAAGUUAUUAUAUAGAUCUUAAGAUUAUUGAAUACUUAUUUGUUAAAUUGAAGCAAAUUACUCUGUCAUGAAUUUUAUUACAUCUACAUUUUUAUCUAUUGUACUUAAAUUUGACCUUUUUAUAGCAAGGGUAAAACUUAUCUGCACCGAAUGUAUACACCAAAUCAAUACAUGCAUGCUAUGUGUUUAAAUUUAUAGUUUAUUUUACUUAACUAUAAUUAAUUAACAUAUAUUUUACUUCAUCAAAUCACGUAAUAAUGAAAAUUGCAUUAGUUGAGUGCAUAUAUUCGGUGCGAAUACGUUUUUUCCUAUAUAUAAACACAUUUAUGUAAUGAGAAAUAGACAAUGUAACAAAGAAAAUUACAAGUUUAUUUUGUAGAAUAGUCUAGGUGUUCUUAUAAUGCAAAUGUGCUAUAUCUAUAUAUAAUAUAAUAGUGUUGUUCUGCCACAAAAUUAAGGGAAAAUGAUGAAAUUACAUCUCAUCAGAGGGUUUUUUUUUUUUUUGGCAACCAAUGUGAAAAUUACCAUUAACAAACAAACAAAACUUACAAACUAAGAGCAUUUCAACCUCAGUACCUUAACUGGUAUUAGAGGAGUGACCUCAUCAACUCAAACUACUUACAUAAAUUCUACCAAAAACUCCUACAUCUAUGUGCUCUUUUGGUAUUCUUAUGCAUGUCUAUCCUCGCUAUAAGUUCUCGAAUUAUUCCCUCCACUAUGUCAGUAUACUGUAUUUGUACUCCUUUGAAAUGCUUCCAAUUCCUUGCCUUCCAGAUGUGAUACACUAUUGCUCCCCAAAUAGCAGUCACCACCUCUUUCUUAAACUUCUUCCAAUGCUUCAACUUUAUCAUCUCCAAUGUAGUUUUUAACUCUUUUGCGGGAAUAAAGAUGUUGGCCCAUUGUAGUAAUUUAGCUCUCACCUUUGCAACAUAUUCACACUCUACAAACAUGUGCUUGUACGACUCUAUCAUUCCAUUUUGACACAGGCAGCAGCUAUUGUCUUCUACAUAUACUCCCAUAUUUAUCAACCUAUCCUUUGUGAGCAAUCUAUUUUGCAUUGCUAGCCACAAAAAGAACCUCUGCCUAAGUAAUACGACAGAGUUCCAAACUAAUUCAGCUACCUCAAGUUUCUCUUGAUUGCCUAUCAGAUCAUUAUAUCCACUUGUAAUUGAAUACUCCCCAUUUGUUGUAAGGUUGAACUGCCCUUACGUAUACCAUUGUUGCAUCAUAUUUUUCAGGGAGUUUAUUUUCCUCCAGUACCAACUACUAUCAACUGGUGCUUUGUGAGUCCAGACUGUAUCAGUUUUUAUGUAAAUCCCAUGCACCCAUUUCACCCAUAAGGAUUCCUUCCUCAUAACCAAUUGCCAUAAGAGCUUUCCAACAAUGGCUACAUUCCAUUUACCACAUCCUUUUAUAUUAAGUCCGCCCUGCUUCUUUGGAUAACAUAUUUUCUCCCAAGAAACCAAUGACACUUUCCUUUUUUCCUCAUUGCCUCCCCACAAAUAUUCUCUGCAUUUCUUGUCCACCUCUUUCACUACACUCUGAGGUAGGAUGAACACUGAGCCCCAAAAACUGUGUAUGGAGAACAAGACUGCCAAGAUCACUUGAAGUCUGCCUGCAUAGGAAAGUUGUUUUGCAUAGGUGUACUUGAUCCUGCUUGUUAUUUUAUCAACUAGUUGAUGGCAUUCCAUUUUUCCCCACCUUUUUGAUCUCAUCAGAGAGUUAUUAUUAAUAAAACACGAUCGGAUGUAUACACCCAAUUAAUACAAUUUCUAUUAUUUCAUGAUUUAAUGAAGCAAUUAUUUCGUAAUUUAAUGAAGCAAAACAUAUGUUAAUUAAUUAUGGUUAAGUAAAAUGAACUAUAAAUUUAAACACAUGACAUGCAUAUAUACACCCAAUGUAUACACCCGAUGUAGUGGACUCAUUUUAGGAUGCUUGGAGUCAUGUGACUUGCACAUAGAUGGGUCUGUUAAUGAUUUUAACAGAAGUUUCAUGAAGGAUGGAAUUUGCUAAGUUUUGAAUACAUUAAGGAUGAUUUUUGUUCAAUAUGAUAGUUGAAAGAUGUACAUUAAGUUUUGGUUAUAGAUAAAGAUGUUUUUGGUCAAAAACUCAAUAAAAGUAAUAUAAGUAGCAAAUCCUAGCAGGUUCUCUCACUCUUGCCUCUUUUUCUUCUCUCUAGCCUACAUUUAGGGUUUGUUGAUCGGUUCACAAUUCUCCUUCAAAGAUGAUCGUUUUGAGGAGCUCCGACGGAGAGACCUUUGAGGUCGAUGAGGCGGUGGCGCUAGAAUCGCCGACCAUUAAGCAUAUGAUAGAGGACGACUGCACUGACACCAGCAUCUCUCUACCCAACGUUACUAGCAAGAUCUUAGUCAAGGUCAUCGAAUACUGCAAGCGCCAUGUGGAGGUUCCUAAAGCUGAGGAUAAGACCGCCGAAGUGGAUCUCAAGACUUUCGAUGCUGAAUUCGUCAAAGUUGAUCAGAGCACCCUUUACGAUCUCAUGCUGGUAUGGAUCUUUUUAAAUCUAUAUGUAUAUCUUAGUUGAUUCGUAUGUGUUUUUGAUUACGAUGAUCCGAUGGUUCAAUUAUUAGUGUGCAGGAUUGCUGAUUCUUUAAUUAAUUUAUCUAAAUAACUAGAAAGAGGCAAAAGUCAUAUAACUUUUUUAUAUUCUAAAAUUAUAGUUGGAUGAAAUAUGUGACUCCUAUGGUAGAAAUGUCAUAUAGAAGCCAAGGGUGUGGCUUGGUGGUCAAUGAAAUGGUUGAGAGCCAUCAGAGGUUCAAUUCAGUGGAGACAAAAAACAUUAGGUGGUUCAUCCCAUCUAUCCUAGCUUCACCUGGUAUUUGUUGUUGAUGGGAGGUGGUAGAAAUCCCAUCGAAUUAGUCGAGGUGCGUGAAAGCCGACCAAGACACCACGUACAUCCAGUAAAGUGUCAAAGCAGUAGCAAAUAAGAGAAGAGCAGUAUCAAAACCAAAAAGAACGAAUGUUUCUAUAUUUGGAAGUUCUUUAAUUUUUCCAUUUACCCUUAGUGACAUUCUCUUAUAGGCAAUGAUAAUGUCAUUUAGUGACAUGUUUAGAUCACAUGUUCCAACUAAAAAGUACUUUCUAUGUGUUAGAACUUCCUUUAUCUUUAUUAAAUUCCAUUCCCAGUCAAGCACCACCUCCAUAUAAAAUUAACCAGAAGAUUAUUAGUUUUCUGUGAUCAGUUUGGUAAUUUUUUGUUAGGUUUUGUUUAUCUUGUGAAUCUAUGGUAGUUUGUCAAUUCACCUUUUACUUCUGGCUACCAUUGCCUAUCGACAUCGCUUUUGUUUGCUGUCUCUUCCAUAGACUGAGUUUCCGCUCUAGUUUGCUCCUGUUUAAGCUUCAAUGGUAAUAUACAUUUAGUUUAUUAGGGCGGUCACGAAUAAAUUAAUCAAUCAAUUAUGUCUCAGUCCCAAACUAAAUCAUUUCUUCCAUAUCCUUUCUGCUUUAUUUGGCUCCAAGGACAUGUCUAUGUGUAGUUGUUUUGUUGUAGUAAACAAUAAACUGCAGUUGGUUGUAGUUGUUUGAAGUAAUGAAAUGGCGUUUGACUGCUACUUCUAUAGUUCUAUUAGUCUGUUAUGUUUGGCAAAAAACAAUUCCCUUUGUCAUGGUUAAGUGAACUUUCUUUUGCUUAGUACAACAGUAUAGUACUAUAGUGGCUCAUUCUAAAACAAUGGGUAAGAACUAAGAAGAUUUGCUGUAACACUAAAAUUGAAAAUAAAACUAAAACAUAGUAACAUACUUGUAAUUGUAAAAUUAGAGUGAAGCAUAUAUUUUACCUUUAGAACAUGUAGUCAUACUUUAGUUUGUUGCCUAUUUUAAGAAAUAAAUGCUAUAUGGACAUGUUUGCAGCACAUUUUGUUUACAUGUUUGAUGUGCCUCUCUGUUCCACCUCCUGAGUUCUUGCCUGGGUAUUUUGAAUCUGUAGAGUGGCUAACAAUUGUUGAAUGUGUUUUUAAUUGUUAAAUUUUGCUGUUUCUUUUAAGCUUACUUGUAGGUUUCCAUUUCUUUUUAGUUAUUGCUAUUAGCAUUUAAUGAUUUACAAUGGACCCUCCCUCUUAGUAUCUAAUUUUCUCAAGUUUGUAGAGAUUUUCUUUUACCUUUUUCUGUUGAGAGCUUGUAUUUGAUGUUUACUGUGUUUAGGUGAUCUCACCCUAUGGCUGUUGUUACUGUUCCUUGCAUAUAGUUCUUUGCUAUUCGUUGCUAUGUUUCUCCACCUAUUUUUUCGUUUUAUUACUGCUUGGAGUUGCUUGAGCCGAGGGUCUUUCGGAAACAGCCUGCGUACACUUUACCCUCCCAAACCCCACUUUGUGGGAUUUCACUUGGUAUGUUGAUGUUGAGAGCUUGUAUAGAGGUUAAGUAUCCUUUGCGUUGUCUCUUUUCAGGCUGCCAACUAUUUAAACAUAAAGAGCUUGCUAGAUCUGACAUGUCAGACAGUAGCAGACAUGAUCAAGGGAAAGACGCCUGAGGAGAUAAGCAAGACAUUCGACAUCAAGGAUGACUUGACUCCUGAGGAAGAGGAAGAAUUCAGGAGGGAGAAUGCCUGGGCAUUCGAGUGAAUUUGAGUCUGUUAAGCAUCCAUAUCUGUAGAUAGAUCUGCAAUAUACUUUAGUAGAUGCUAUGAAUAACUUAUAUCAGUAAGUGUGUGACUGUUGUUUCUCGGACAUUCUGGCUUUGGCUGUUGAACAUCUUUUGCUCUGUUAUGCCGUGGUUUCUUAUGUUCUAAGUAAAAAUUGAAGGUAAAAUCAUGUUGGUAGCCGAUGUCCAUUUUCAUUGAUCUAUUAUUGGAAAUUCAUAUUGUUUGUUGUGUUUAUCA